UACGUAGGGUGCAAGCGUUGUCCGGAAUUAUUGGGCGUAAAGAGCUCGUAGGCGGUCUGUUGCGUCGGCUGUGAAAACCCGAGGCUCAACCUCGGGCCUGCAGCCGAUACGGGCAGACUAGAGUUCGGCAGGGGAGACUGGAAUUCCUGGUGUAGCGGUGAAAUGCGCAGAUAUCAGGAGGAACACCGGUGGCGGAAGGCGGGUCUCUGGGACGGUACUGGACGC
rnacentral:rRNA from 1 species